GCACUGGCUCUUUUAGGAAUCCCCAUCAAGUUGAAGUUCUGUCCAUUCUUGCUUUGUAAAUAAAUGGGACGCUGGCCCUUUAAAUCUUGGCAGGAGGCGGUCCUUGUUUGGAGCGCGAGGCGCGUGGGAGGAGGAGGAGGAGGAGGAGGAGCGCGGGUUACGUCCGCCAUACAGAUGCAAACCAAAUGAACGUUGGAUCCCGAGGACUAGCUCUAGCCUGAACUACUGCUCCUCUGUUAUUCUCCACGUGAAGAGGCUAUUAAAUUUGCACUGGAGGAUGGUGCCGAGGAGGCUGACGGCUUUCCCAACUGUGCUGAAGUCAUUGCAAUAUUAGAACACGUCUGUUAAGCAAUGAAGGCUUGUGAGCACGCUGACUUCAGGUGUUCGUCAUAAAGUUUGUCAUUGAGUUUGCCAAAAUACAUAAAAUCAGUUGUUUGUAUUUUAUAAAACAUUUGAAGCACUACUUAUUUCUUUAAGAAUGUUUUUCUUUCAUUUUUAUCCAGCAAGUCAUCUGAUAAGGUGAGCAAAGGUUACAGUACUUGCUUCUAAUUGGUAAAUCCCCCCCCCCCCCGGUGACUUAUUUACAUCUUUCAGGAAAAAGGCGUGUUUCAUUCAGAGCUUUCCACAUUUCCUCUUAAGCGUGUGUUGUUAUUUCAGCUGGUGUGUCAGGAAAACACGGGAUUAUCGAUUUAUAUUAAUAAUCCCUGUAGAAAGUUUGUUUGUUCCAGACAAUUGGAGGAUUCGCCCCGCCUAAAAAGAAAGCUGAUUAUGUUUUAAGCAGCAAACCUCUGCUGUCUUCAGGCCUUUGUUUGGAAGAAACUCACAAGGUUAGAACUUGGUAACUACAAAACAGGAACUCUACUUUAUUUAGUGAUUCUCCACCUUUUUCUGUCAGGUUCAUGAAUGAUAUCAGGUAGAUAACGCUAGAAUGAAGGACGGUGCACAUUUGUAUUUCCCAGUUUUUUUUUAGAGCUGUAGGAAUCUACUAUUUACUUAUUUGCCAUGUAAACAACAGCAACAAACAAAAAAAGUAAUUGUGAGCAUGUUCUCCAAAUUGCUUUUAAAAUCCAGGGCACUAGAUGGUCCCGCAUCCUAUAGUUUUUUGGUAGUUGGGGAGUAGGUUGGGAAUUUGGUCAUAGCCUUUGUCUUUUAUUCUUCCGAUGUGCUAUCGUUCAUUUCCACCCAUGUGUCGGUUUCCGUAAACGCCUGAACAAAACCAACCUGUUACCCUACCUGUAUUUUCAUCUAACACUACAGUUUCAUUUGCUUGUAAUACUCUUAAAAAAACUCCUAAUUGAAAACUUCUGAGUGCAUAUUUCCAAAUGGGUCUCUACUAACAGCCUCAAGUCAAAACUCAUUGUUUAAGCCCUGCUGCAUUUUUGUCAUCCGGCAGAACCAGUCCUAAUGGCUGCAGAUGUCUGCACACGGCUAGUUCACUGGGUUGGUACCACAUAAUAAACAUUCAGAACAUUUUUGAUUGAUUGAUUUACUAGUAACUAACCUGUGUCUUAAUAACUUUACCAUGUCUAAGUCUCCAUGUGGCACACAUCCUGAAAUCGUUUUCAUUUCUCUGAGGGGUCAUUCUAAUUGCGUUCUCUGAAUAAAAAAAAAGCAGGUGUGGCUGUUGGCUCUAAACAGACUAUUUUGUCAAGUCCAGUAUGCCU
ensembl:lncRNA